CUCCACCUGGACCAAACAGAACAGCUGUUACUUUUUAAACCUUUUCUUUUCUUCAUGCUGCAGUGAAGGGCAAAGAAAUACAGCCCACAGGAGGUACAGAAGCAGAGCUAAUUUCUGUUUGCCACACUUACCCCAUUCAUUGAGAUGACUGUGCGCUGCCAAUCUUUGUCCUGCAGUGCCUGUGGGUCCAGCUGGAAAACAGAAGUUACCCAUGAGCUAGGAACAGACUUCAGAGAAGCCAGCUAGCCUGGAAGGCUUCUGCAAGUGAGCAGAGCAUAAUCACUUUUACCUUGUUAUUUCCUUUCCAUAGGAAAACCCACACUCCAAAGUUUCCCUGGUUUCAGGGAAACCAGAUUUUGGAUAUUGUGCAGUUCUCUAAACAGGGCUGAUGAGGGUUCAUACACAUGGAAAACCCAGCAACAUGACAGCAAUAUCUGCUCAACAAUAAAGGCAACCUCAGGGAGCACAACCAAUAUUUGAAUCUGUUGAGAAGUCAUGGAAAGUUGUCCUUCAAACAGCCUAUUCCUUUUAACUUCUAUUUGAGCAUAGAGGCAGGAAGAACACCAGGCCCUGCUAUUGCAAGCACUCAUUAAACAGAAACAAGUUCCAAUCUCUCAUUUUCAGCUUUGCUUGAUCUCUCGAGUGGACAGCUGUGAGGCUGGGGAGCAGCUGACUCCAGUGUUAGAAUGUCACCCAGCAAUUCCACUACUGCCUUGGGAGAGCCCAAACACAUCCAAAGGGCUGAGGAGUGGCACUCAGCUCCAGGGAGAUUGGCAAGAGAGAGGAGGAGCUGUCUUCUUGGGGGCUUGAUCGGCCAUUGGAACCAGCCAAGGCAAGAAUUCAGUGUCUCCUGAGACAGCUUUGUAACACUUGGCUCUUGAACACGGAGGCACAUAAGACCAGGAGGAGGCAACUGCAGCAAACUGUUUUGAGUUUACUGCUGUCAGCAAAUAACCAGAGCUGCUUUGCAGCACAGCUCCCCCCUCUCACAGAGCCCCGUGCAGGGCCAGAGAGCUCUGGCAGGGGAGGGAAAUGCUGGAACAAUGGCAGCUGCAGGAAAUUCUGGGAGAGCUCAGACACGGUCAUGGUCGCACUCAGAUCCUCAACAGAGCAGCCCAGUGCUGCUGACAGCUCCAGAGACAAGCCCCCACCUUAACCUUCCCCACUCCCCAGAGAAAGGCAAGCAGCAGAGAGCAAAGUUCCUCCCUUCUUCCUCCCAGUGCAGAGACCCCAAGCAGCAAGAGAACAAGCGAGGCCGACCUUGUCCCUGCGCGCUCUGUCACGGACGUGAGCCCACAGCGGGAUGCUGCCAGCACACACGUGCUUCCCUGUGGAAUUGGACCGGCUCCUGUAGGUGCAACGCUGGCAGAAACUCCUGAAGAGCCCUUGCAAGGAAUUGUCAGUAACCAGCAGCUCCCACAUUUUGGGGCUGUGCAAAGGACCAGGGGGCCGAUGGGCAGCAGUGCUUGGCUUCGGUGCCUCAGCGACCCCAAACACAGGACUGCUGGCCGAGGGGGUUCGCUUUUAACUCCGGCAGAACAGAUCCGCCCCGCCUGUGGGGCUGGCCAAGGGCCCUACAGCUGGCCAGCUUCUAGGCUGUUCUACCCUGAACUUCCGUGCUGGAAGCUUGAUUUCUUUCAACAACUGAAUUCUUUCCCAGAAUCAAGAGGAAACCAUUUCUGAAGUGUCUGGUUUCCUAUGAGCAGCAACCAUGCUAAGUAUUCCUGAAAGCUUGAUCUCCAGCUCUGAGGAGUCAUCUGGUUAAGCUGCCAAAACGGCCCUGCUGAUGGACACAGUCACAGCCAAUCCUCUUGCUGGGAACCAGUUUUCCAUGUGUUUUUAGAAUGGAGUCACUGAGUGUAUUAUUUAUAGCAGGGAGUUAUAUUAUUUAUAGUUUAAGACUAAAGGGGAAAGAGGGUUUGAAUAUUUGCCAAAAACUUUAAAAGGAGAGUCCAGCAGAAUCCAGUUACAGUUUAUUUAAGCUAACAGGUAUUACUGGGUAUGUCUCAGUAAUGACCAGGGAAUUCCUGCCACGGCACAGAACAAAAUCAAGUAAAUAGCUGUUAAAAAAUAAAACCAUCCUGCUCUCUCUCAAGAGUAACUUUGACUCUGCUGCAAAAAAUGAACAGAAGCAGAGUGCUGGAGCUGAGAACUCGCAAAGACUUUUCCUUGCUACAGCUGAGAGCUCACAGAGACUUUUCCUCGCUGGAUAACUGCUGGGGCUGAGCCAGGACUACCAGUAAACCUCCAUGUACCUGCUGCUGCCUCUUGCUCCCUUGUUUCUCAGCUCUCCUGCAGAGCUGGCAGGACCCCUGCACUCCCUCCUGCUGUUUGACUCCUGCUGGAAAAUGCCUUGUACUGAAUGGGGACAGCCAGGGAGAACAGGCACCAUGGCUGGCUGACCCAGCCAACCCUGCAGAAAUCACUGGCAAUAACAACAGUAAUUAAGGGGGAAAAAAAACCAAACUCCUCCAAGGUGCUUUUUAAAUAACAAAGCAAAAUGGUGGAAGCUAUUAAAAGAGCAAAGCUUGAAUAAACUCUCAGCAACACUGAGUGAGACAGGAAGAUCAGGUCUAACAGUCUGAUAAGUCACAGCAGGAUAUAACAGAGUCAACAGGAAACCAAGAACUGUCACUGGGACUUCAAUCAAGCUUCAGUCGUGGUCCCAAGUGAUGACUGACCUUCUGAGGCCAGCAAGAGCAACAGAGGGAAAGGACAACUGGGGCAGGCAGGGAGAGAGCACACUGAGGACAAUGAGCUAGCAAGAGUGAUGCUCCAGCACAGAGGACAAAUGGGGCCAUGCUGUCUUCUGGCCUGAUUUGGAGAUCAGUGACCUGAAAGAAGGAACACUGAGUAGAAGAAUGCAAUCCAUGGCCAGCAUGGCAAAGGGAGGCAGCUCUGAGCAAGCUGUGCCAGCUCAAGCAGGGGAGGCACUGUGCAGCUGCUGCCUCUGCAUUUGACAGUGGAAUUUACUGCUCCUCUACACAGUUCCUCCAAACAGUUGCUUGGUUUGAGUGACCUGCCCCAUCUCCUUUGAAGCAGAGCCACUGUGUUGUUUCCAUGCUCUGUGCAAAUAGGACAGACCUGCUAAAACCCUCACAGACUGCAUUUCAUGGGCUUUGCACAGCCCCCAUGCUGAACAGGAAAAUAGAAACCAACCACUCUGUCUGUUUGCUGCUCCCUCCAGUCCCCUUGUGGCCUUUGGUAUUUGCAGUGGCAAGCUCCAGCCCCAAAGUCACUAAUGAAUCAAGCCAAUACCUCUCUGUAUCCUGCCCAAAACACCACAGAACAAAGCAGCUCAGCACCACAGGGGUUUCUGCAGGUCUCUGGCCCUUGUAGCAGCUCAGCACUGAAUUCAGACAGGGCACAGCAGUCAGGAAAGGCUGAGAGUGCACAGCAGCAUGGUGAGAACUGGAAAAAGGCAAACUGGGGAUGCUGCUCUGGCAAAUGCAAGCCAGGCACUAGGAAGGGUGCCUGUGCUCUGCCCUAGGAACCACCACAGAGAGCUUGAUCAUGAUUUCUUUUUCCCCAGAGAAAAAAGAAAACAUGCAGAAGGAGGGAAAACAAAGAAACCUCAGUGGAAAUGAAAGAGCAUGGACUGUGGAACAUUAAGAGGCUGCAGUAGCAUCAUGUCACUGGGCAGCUACAGCACUGCCAGGUCCUCCAAGUGUCCUUAACUAAGGAGACUCUAAGGAACUUCUGUAGAAGCCACCCAGAACUCUCACGCUCACCGCCCGCUGACCCAUUUUCAUCAGAAGUCUGCUGAAAAUACGUUUUUUCCUGGAUAAAAUCCAGUACCAAACCCAGCCAUGUGCAUUGUUUAGCACUGAUGCACCAAAGCACGAAUCUUAGACACCUGCAGCUGGUGAGUAAACAGCUCCCACAGGUCUUCCUAAUAUCUUACUUUUUCCAGGAAGCCAGGGCUGAGAGGCAGAAGCAUGUUCUUUGGAAAUGUGGAGAAUAACCUUCCCACAGCAUGCUCAAUGUUAUUCAUAUCCUGCCCUACACACCACCAGUGUUCAAACUCUUAUUUCUCUUUUAGGCUCCAGGAAGGUUUGGGAUCUAACAGCUCUCAGAAAACACAUCUGAGAAUGAUAUGCUUCUCUGAAAAAAGGAAAGCCUGGGCCAGAGAUACCACAUCCAUGUCUGACAGCAUAAUUGCUGUUUCUUUACAUUUGCUGCUGCUUUGACAUCAGUGAAGUAGGAAAAAGCUUCAAAGGCAUAACUGAGCCUGCUAAAAUUCAAGAGUAUAUGGCUUCUGACCAAAAUCACUGGCAGGAUCAUAAUUUAACAGCCAGAAACUGGCAAAUAAUGCUUCCAGUCCUUUUCAUGUCUGCAGCAUAAGAUCCUUGCCCUGCACAUGGAUGCUCAUAGGAACAGAGGAGCUGCUGGGUACAACCACAGGGUCUUUUUGUCUCUGCCUCCCCACAGGGCAGCAUCAGCCAGGCUGUGCACUGGGAUGAGCAAAGCCCCUGCUGAACAGUGCUGCAGCCUGGCUCCUCACACUGUGCAGCCCUGGGAGAGCUGCCAGCAGCACCUCAUCUGAGCACAGACCCUGUGUCUGCAUUGCCCUGGAGUGCUCAGCUCCUUUACCUUUUCCCGCUGGAUGUCGUUCUUGAUCUGGGAGAUCUUGAUCUUCAUGGCAUCCAGCUCCUCAUCAGGUACCAGUGGGAUAUUGGGCACUGCCUCAGACUCAUCCACCAUUUGGAAACUGAGGUCAGUGAGCGGGAUGUACCACUUGCAGUCAUACUGUUGGCUUUUUCUGAAAGGCAGGAGGUCCAAACCUUUUACUGCAACUGGUGUUUGGCAACACCCAGUCCUUCCCACAAGCUCUUCCCUGCUAUAGUGCAGAAGAUGCAGAUACUGGCCCAACUUUACUGUGAUUCCCAUACGGAAAAAGUCUGGCAACAGGCUGCUUUUCAGCAAGACAGCCUAGCAGGGCCACUAGCUGGUACAGCACAUAAAAAGGCAACUCAUUUUGUUAUCUAGUUCUUUUCAUCCAAAGAAACCACAUCCAUCUCCUGAAGACAAUUUGGGUCCUGCAUGCUCUCUCUUUGAAGCCUCUGCUGUGGCAAAGUUCUAAAGCUGUGACCUGGUGGCCCCCUGGGAUCUGAACCUGGGUCUCUCCUGCCCAAGCUGGGGCCAAGGUGGAGCAGGAACAUCCACUCUUGGGAAUGUCCCACUCCUCUGAAGGUUCAUUCCUCACAAGCACAUGCUUUGAUAAGGGCAGGCAGACUUUUUUGCUUGAGGAGGGCAAGAAGAUAAGAGAUGUCUCCCCAAGAAGAAUGUUUACCAAAUGAAGAGAAGCCCUAUUUGAGGCAAAUACACUGGUAAUGGUUCCUCCCCCCUCACAUGAAAAUUGUCAGCAAAACUGCUUUAAAAACUGCUCUUUGGGCUUUACACAUAGUCUGUCUACUGCACCUUUGCCAUUUUUCUGUAACACUGUUAACAGGCUGUAGCUGCAAAGCCAAAAUUAACAACCCUAGUCAUAAAAAAAGGUGAAAAAUGUCACCUAUUAAGAGAAAGGAGAAGUAGAAAAAUUAUUAAUGUUUGUCCAGAAUACCAGCAGCUACAACAUAUCCUGCUCUCCUAGGUAGGCUCAGGGCAGGGAUGGGAGGAAUUACCUUUCCUGAGGGGUCAGGACUUAGGCAGGAUCUCAUACAGUAAACAUUCCUAUCUUGCUGAUCAUUUCUUAUCUAACUACUUCUUGUGCAUUAUGGUUACCCAGGUCUGGGGUAUCCACACGCAACUGAAACUGCAGGCAAAACCCAGGAUUCUGCUGCAGCCGAGGUGCAAAGCACAAAGUCCAAAAGGAAACUCUCACCCUCCAAUCUGCUUCUUGAGCUU